GAGUAGAAGCAGGCUGAUUCAAUCAGACGUACAGACAACCUGUCGCACACCCACACAGCAGACAGGGUUUUUUUUUUUAAUUUGAGGUGACACAGAUUUUGAAAAGAGUCCACUCAGUCUGCACCAUGCUGCACCCUUUAAUCAUCGGCAUUGUGACCGUAAACACUUCCCUCACCGUUGUCUAUUGGACCUUCCUCCUGGGAGAUGCCUACUUCAAGUGGCUGGUGGAGCCAGAAGACAAACCCAAGAAGGUGGUCACCCCAGCCUGAGGGAGUCACAGUCAAUAUGGACCUGCUUGGCUGAGUGACUGGGUGUUAUUUUUGCGUAGGACUAGUUCAGCUUGUAGUGCUUUCUGUGGAGUCUGAUUUUGCAGUCAAUUUGCUUCUUGUUUCACCCGAAGAAGAUCUGGAACCCCGCUGUGAACUUUAAAAUUAACUGAACUGAAUGAAUCCCGCAAGUGAACGAGAAAGGAAUCCUUCUCACAGAGCUGUCUGUGUACAACACACGCUAAUUUGGAAGUCCUUUCAUGCACAAGUCAAAGAAAAAAGCUGAGGAGCCGGUUUGAAGUCUUGAUUACAAGACUGGAUUCUUGGCCCCAAACCAGUGGAGGAUGAUUCAGAGGAAGCAAAAGCAGAACUAGAAGCAGAGCGCCGACAGAGUUUUCCCAGUGAGCUGAGGGGGAAAGACAUGCUGAGGAUGGAGGAGGAAAAGGACAGGCCACUGCCCGGUUUCUACCAGAGUGAAGGAGGCUGCCGCCGUCCAUCCACCCCUCCUCCACUGAGAAGUGCCAUCACUUCGUCAUACACUGGAGAAAAAAGGAUAUCCGCUCACAGUGUCACCUUCGCCUGCCCUGCGACCCCUUAUGUCACCUCCCUCUGAGUUUUUGUCACAAAAGUCAUUCAGAUACAUUUUUGUCUCAUCUCUCAUUUCAGUGCAGUAAUCAGUGUUGUCUCUUUGCUGUAGUAAUGCUUAAGCUAAAGCUAUUUUUGUUUUCUAUAAAAACAAAUGUUGGUCAACAGUUAUAGUUUUGAUUCAUUUUACAAGAAAAUGCUUCCUGUCAUCACUUAUUAAAAAAGUUAGUGUAAAAAAAGGUCCACAUUGUCAAUAAUUUCAUUAUAUUGCACUAUAUUAUUAUUCGUGGUCCAAUUGCUCAUGCUACAAAAUGUAAAUUAUGCACUAUGUAAACUUCAGUGAUGUUAAUAGGACCUGCAAAAAGGACAUUUUAUUUUGAUAACUGACAUCAAAGCUAAAAAAAAUAGUUUGACUUGAAAAUACCUCUCAAUGAAAAUGUCAAAUUCCUCCUAAGUGUUGUUAAAUUGCACAUAAAUUUCCAUUUCGGUGCAUCUUCCACUGUCAUGACUAUCAUUUUCCAAUUACUUCACACUUGUUGCUGUAAUGUUUUUCUGAAGAAAACACACAUCAGUUUUCCUGUUCUGGUGUUGGGACUAAGCUUCUCUCCAGUAAACAGCUGAAUAAUACAAGA